rnacentral:lncRNA from 1 species
AUCCUCACUAUCGCACGAGAAUGAGAGAAUUUCGCAAACAAAAUAACCGGAGCCUUAUCCUCACUAUCACCCGUCGAUCAGCUUCAAAAGCUCUGAUACCAUGUGAGGUGGGAUGAUCGAUCACGUAAUCGUAAAGAAGGAAAGAGGAGAAUCACACAAUAACAUUCAAACAAUAUUAAAUUAAAACAUUCACACAUUAACAUUUUAAAUUCAACAGAAAGUAAACAUUUCUAUAUCUUGUAAAAAUGUAUCUUCGUUAUUAAAAAAAAUUGUAUAUAUAACAUUAAAGAAACUAGUUAUAAUUAAAAAUAUAUUGUACAAUCGAUUCCCUUUGAGUUGUAUGACUCGAGAGACUCCUUUGAUCUGUUAACCGUCGCAAUCCAUUUAUGAGAUCGGAGGACAACCGUCUUUUUGUCGCUUACACAAUCAUGUAGACGGGAACAUGAUUGGGGGUUUCGAUUAGUUGAGUGACCAAGGCUAAGCCAAAAUGAUAGGGUCUCAUGAAAGAAUUGCGACGGUGAACAGAUCAAAGCGGAAUCUGAUAUCUUUAAUCAUUGAUCGCAUCUCAUGUCCCCAAAUCUAGUUUAGAAUAUUCCAAGAACUGUGCAUGUUGUCUUCAAUUCCACUAGUCAAAUACGCAAACCUGAUCAAUACCUAUACACAAACCAAUUAUGUUAUUUUAUACAUAAACAAUUAAUAAUAUCUAUGAAAAAAAUCUUUCCUUGCGGCGGCACCGUUAACUCCGACGAAGUAGUACUGGAGGAUCGAGAUCAAUUGUGGUGAUUCUUCGACUUAGAUUAAAAACUCAUAUUAAUUUACAUAGUUGGUGAAGAGAUUAAUGGUGAGCACAUGAUCGAUGAGCACAUAAUGAGAUGGUGACAACAAUUAAUAUGUUACCAAAAUCAC